rnacentral:piRNA from 1 species
AUUAGAAGUUGGAAGUGGAAAGUUGGAAGA